AGUAUUACAGCUGUUUAACAGUAUUUUCAUUUAAACUGUGAUUGAAUUUACAGGCAGGAGGUUUUGCCACUGUAUAUCAUGUGUUUUCACAGUAAUUCAUUGUGAAAUGGCAUCAUGGGAUUGCACGGGUGUAUUUAUGUUUGAAAUGGACAUGAACACUGAAGAGUCAUCAUUCAAAAUUGUUGAUGCUUGUUUCAGGCGGGAACGAGGCAGCAAAAAGCGUGAUGGGUCUUGGCUGGACUGCAAGGUGGUGGGACGAAUCCUAAACAAACUUAAAGGUAUCGGCAACAGAAGCUGAUGUUGAAAAAAGUUUCACUCUUCCAGACUCUCCAAGACUGAUCGUCCAAGGUGAAAUCCCUACUGCAACUCAGUGGAUGCUGAGUAUUGAAGGUCAGGUGGGUGUGAAUCCAAACCCCAACCUUGUGGCUGGAUUUACAGCUUUGUUUGCAUCUUACUACAACUUCAACCUGGUUUACCAGGAGGAGGCAUCCUCCACACUUGAAUUUGUUCAAAGCUGUUUUGUUGGAAUCAACCCUCCCACUGGCACCAAGGCAGCCAUGGGUUGGAGGCAAAAAAGUAGAAAAGCCUCUGAGAAGAGAAACAGUCAACCCUCAUGUGUGUACUCUUCUCAGAAAAUUAAUGGACUUUGAAGGGUUAUGCAUCGGAUUGGCUGCGUGAGCGCAAUGCUGUGUACCCAAUACUGGUCGGUGCAGGGCGGAGACGCAGCGUACGGACAUCGCCCCAGAAGAAGUCGGCAACCAUAAAAGCGCAAACGUCGUAGCAACUCAUUGUUGGGUUGUUGGUUGGCGAGUUGUUGGAGAGUUAUGGGAGAAUUGUUAAAAAGUGAUCUGCUGUGUAUUUUGCCGGUGCGAUUUAUGUUUGUGAUGUUUAAUAUUGUUCUACAUACUGGGCUGGAAGAGGUAAGAAGGAGUGCGCUCAUACAUUGUUCACCACGUAGUAUACUUCCGUGUCUAGAGACCUCAGGUAAGGGGCGGUGCCUCCCCCUGUAUUCUAGUUAGUGAGGGAAGUAUAGCGUAGUUAGGAUUUUGGUUUCACUUUUGUUUGUAGAUGAGCGGGACUAAUAUAAAGCAGUGUUAAUUAAGCUGGUUUUGAAUUUGUUUUUCUUUUCUUUGGUGCCGCCGAAUUUCCAGUCCUGCCUUUUGUAGAAGCACAAGCCAUUUGUAUAUAUGUGUAUAUAUUACUGUAAAUACAAUUGCCACGUUGUACAGUAAAGAAAAACUUCAGCACAAGCAUUGUGUCCGCCCAUGUCAUUACUGUUGUCGGCAAUUUAAAGUAAUUAUCACACUGAACCAGUUAGUCUGUUCCUUCAAUUCACAUCCACAUUGGUCAUCACUAGUUGCUGACUCCGAGAACUCCUUAGACGUAACUCGGGGUCAUAACGGGUGGGGGCUCGUCCGGGAUAUUUAAAAGCGGUGAUUAUUGUGUGUAGUGAGUGGAAGGGCUCAUUGUGUGUUCUUCUUUUUAUAGACACUAUGGUUGUGUUUAAGCUACAAGCCUUCUUAAGUGCUCCCUCUCUAGAGAGGUUGGA